rnacentral:rRNA from 1 species
CCUACGGGAGGCAGCAGUGAGGAAUAUUGGUCAAUGGGCGCGAGCCUGAACCAGCCAAGUAGCGUGAAGGAUGACUGCCCUACGGGUUGUAAACUUCUUGUAUAAAGGAAUAAAGUGAGGCACGUGGGCCUUUUUGAAUGUACUUUAUGAAUAAGGAUCGGCUAACUCCGUGCCAGCAGCCGCGGUAAUACGGAGGAUCCGAGCGUUAUCCGGAUUUAGUGGGUUUAAAGGGAGCGUAGAUGGGUUGUUAAGUCAGUUGUGAAAGUUUGCGGCUCAACCGUAAAAUUGCAAUUGAUACUGGCAGCCUUGAGUACAGUUGCGGUCGGCGGCAUUCGUUGUGUCGCGG